rnacentral:rRNA from 1 species
AAAUUGAAGAGUUUGAUCAUGGCUCAGAUUGAACGCUGGCAGCAGGCCUAACACAUGCAAGUCGAACGGUAACAGGAAGCAGCUUGCUGCUUCGCUGACGAGUGGCGGACGGGUGAGUAAUGUCUGGGAAACUGCCUGAUGGAGGGGGAUAACUACUGGAAACGGUAGCUAAUACCGCAUAA